CAUGAUUGGAUAAUCGCUCAAGCCAAUGUAGGACAACACUUCGCGGAUCUCUGCUACUAUAAAUGACUCCGAACACUCAGGUUCGCUACCCCAUCCCUGACCCACAGCAGACUGAUCACCCACACCAGAUUCGAAAGCCCUAACAACAGCAGAAACAAUGUCAAACUGGUGCUGCUCUGCCAAGGUGACCCUCUACGAGAAGGAAUGCUUCAAGGGUAAACGUUUGACAGUCAGCGACGACCUCGCAAAUUUGGGAGCGUUCGACAAUUCCGUAUCCUCCGCCGUUGUCCAUGAGGGAGAUUGGGCGCUUUACAGUGAGAUCAAAUAUUCCGGGAAGCGGAUGAUCCUCAGUGAAGGAAAGUGCUACAGCAGCCUCCCAGGCCUGAAUAACAUUGCUUCAUCCAUCUGUAAAAUUUGAGUUGGCGACAAGAUGAAGGAGCAGCUCAUCCUUUGUUGGGAGGCUGACCUGCUUCACAUUCUUCUGACCACCUGCUACACACGGAUCAAGUUGUAUUCCUUGUUAAAACAGCUACAAAAGCACAUAGAAUGUUAUAUUGAAAUUGAAACAAUCUUAGAGUAAUUUUAACCAUGUACAUCGUCAAGUGGUGAAAUCUUUAUCACCGAAUAAUAAUCGCUGGCAAAAUGAAAAAAAAAUAUGAAUAAACGUGACAAUUCGAUGCUUGGAUGCAAAUUUCAGUUGUUGCUUGAAACAUCAAUAAAAGAUUGAAAUUCA